GCUGGGUGUGGUGGCUCACGCCUGUAAUCCCAGCAAUUUGGGAGGCUGAGGUGGGUGGAUCACCUGAGGUCAGGAGUUAAAGACCAGCCUGGCCAACAUGGUGAAACCCCAUCUCUA
rfam:Pan troglodytes isolate Yerkes chimp pedigree #C0471 (Clint) chromosome 13, whole genome shotgun sequence.